AAUGAACGCUGGCGGCAGGCCUAACACAUGCAAGUCGAACGGAUCCUUCGGGAUUAGUGGCGGACGGGUGAGUAACGCGUGGGAACAUACCCUUUGGUACGGAAUAGCCUCGGGAAACUGGGAGUAAUACCGUAUGUGGUCGAGAGACGAAAGAUUUAUCGCCAAAGGAUUGGCCCGCGUUGGGUUAGGUAGUUGGUGGGGUAAUGGGCUACCAAGCCGACGAUCCAUAGCUGGUUUGAGAGGAUGAUCAGCCACACUGGGGCUGAGACACGGCCCAGACUCCUACGGGAGGCAGGAUGGGGGAAUCUUAGACAAGGGGGGAAACCCUGAUCUAGCCAUGCCGCGUGAUCGAUGAAGGCCUUAGGGUUGUAAAGAUCUUUCAGGUGGGAAGAUAAUGACUGUACCACCAGAAGAAGCCCCGGCUAACUCCGUGCCAGCCGCCGCAGUAA
rnacentral:rRNA from 1 species